rnacentral:tRNA from 1 species
GCCGCCGUAGCACAAUGGUUAGUGUGUCGCUUUCCUACCGAUGGGACUCGAACCCACUGGAUUAGGCGGAGGCUGUGGGUUCGAGUCCCAUCGGCGGUU